rnacentral:rRNA from 1 species
GUCGAGGGGCAGCACAAGUGUAGCAAUACUCUGGGUGGCGACCGGCGCACGGGCGAUUAUCGCGUAUGCAACCUACCUUCCACAGGGGGAUAGCCUUCCGUAAGGGAGAUUAAUACCGCAUGAAACAGGGGCCCCACGCAUGGGGAUAUUUGUUAAAGAUUUAUCGGUGGAAGAUGGGCAUGCGUUCCAUUAGCUAGUUGGGGGGGUAACGGCCCACCAAGGCAACGAUGGAUAGGGGAACUGAGAGGUUUAUCCCCCACACUGGGACUGAGACACGGCCCAGACUCCUACGGGAGGCAGCAGUGAGGAAUAUUGGUCAAUGGGCGGGAGCCUGAACCAGCCAAGUCGCGUGGAGGACGACGGUUCUAUGGAUUGUAAACUCCUUUUGCACUGGGGUAAAACGCGGGACGUGUCCCGCCUUGCAAGUACAGUGCGAAUAAGCAUCGGCUAACUCCGUGCCAGCAGCCGCGGUAAUACGGAGGAUGCGAGCGUUAUCCGGAUUUAUUGGGUUUAAAGGGUGCGUAGGCGGCCCCUUAAGUCAGCGGUAAAAUUUCUGCGCUCAACGCAGUCGUGCCGUUGAAACUGGGGGGCUUGAGUCUAGAUGAAGUGGGCGGAAUUUGUAGUGUAGCGGUGAAAUGCAUAGAUAUGUCUUAGAACUCCGAUUGCGAAAGCAGCUCACACUAAGCUGGUAUUGACGCUGAUGCACGAAAGCGUGGGGAUCGAACAGGAUUAGAUACCCCUGGUAGUCCCCGCCCUAAACGAUGAUAACUCGAUGUUGGCGAUAGACAGCCAGCGGCCCCACCAAAAGCGUUAAAUGAUCCACCUGGGGAGGUCCCCCGGCACGGUGAAAC